CAGACUUUGAUCAUGGCUCAGGAUGAACGCUAGCUACAGGCUUAACACAUGCAAGUCGAGGGGCAGCAUGAACUUAGCUUGCUAAGUUUGAUGGCGACCGGCGCGCGGGUGAGUAACACGUAUCCAACCUGCCGAUGACUCGGGGAUAGCCUUUCGAAAGAAAGAUUAAUACCCGAUGGCAUAGUUCUUCCGCAUGGUAGAACUAGUAAAGAACUUCGGUCAUCGAUGGGGAUGCGUUCCAUUAGGUUGUUGGCGGGGUAACGGCCCACCAAGCCUUCGAUGGAUAGGGGUUCUGAGAGGAAGGCCCCCCACAUUGGAACUGAGACACGGUCCAAACUCCUACGGGAGGCAGCAGUGAGGAAUAUUGGUCAAUGGACGAGAGUCUGAACCAGCCAAGUAGCGUGAAGGAUGACUGCCCUAUGGGUUGUAAACUUCUUUUAUACGGGAAUAAAGUGAGGCACGUGUGCCUUUUUGUAUGUACCGUAUGAAUAAGGAUCGGCUAACUCCGUGCCAGCAGCCGCGGUAAUACGGAGGAUCCGAGCGUUAUCCGGAUUUAUUGGGUUUAAAGGGAGCGUAGGCGGACGCUUAAGUCAGUUGUGAAAGUUUGCGGCUCAACCGUAAAAUUGCAGUUGAUACUGGGUGUCUUGAGUACAGUAGAGGCAGGCGGAAUUCGUGGUGUAGCGGUGAAAUGCUUAGAUAUCACGAAGAACUCCGAUUGCGAAGGCAGCCUGCUGGACUGUAACUGACGCUGAUGCUCGAAAGUGUGGGUAUCAAACAGGAUUAGAUACCCUGGUAGUCCACACAGUAAACGAUGAAUACUCGCUGUUUGCGAUAUACAGUAAGCGGCCAAGCGAAAGCGUUAAGUAUUCCACCUGGGGAGUACGCCGGCAACGGUGCAACUCAAAGGAAUUGACGGCGCGCCGCGCACCAC
rnacentral:rRNA from 1 species